rnacentral:rRNA from 1 species
AGGCUUAACACAUGCAAGUCGAGGGGCAGCGGGGAGUAGCAAUACUUCGCCGGCGACCGGCGCACGGGUGAGUAACACGUGUGCAACCAACCCCGUACCGGGAGAUAACCCGCGGAAACGUGGACUAACAUCCCAUGACACUCGAGAGCCGCAUGGCUCUCGAUUUAAAAUUCCGGUGGUACGGGACGGGCACGCGCGACAUUAGGUAGUUGGCGGGGUAACGGCCCACCAAGCCGACGAUGUCUAGGGGUUCUGAGAGGAAGGUCCCCCACACUGGAACUGAGACACGGUCCAGACUCCUACGGGAGGCAGCAGUGAGGAAUAUUGGUCAAUGGACGCAAGUCUGAACCAGCCAUGCCGCGUGCAGGAUGACGGCUCUAUGAGUUGUAAACUGCUUUUGUACGAGGGUAAACGCAGAUACGUGUAUCUGUCUGAAAGUAUCGUACGAAUAAGGAUCGGCUAACUCCGUGCCAGCAGCCGCGGUAAUACGGAGGAUCCAAGCGUUAUCCGGAUUUAUUGGGUUUAAAGGGUGCGUAGGCGGUUUGAUAAGUUAGAGGUGAAAUUUCGGGGCUCAACCCUGAACGUGCCUCUAAUACUGUUGAGCUAGAGAGUAGUUGCGGUAGGCGGAAUGUAUGGUGUAGCGGUGAAAUGCUUAGAGAUCAUACAGAACACCGAUUGCGAAGGCAGCUUACCAAACUAUAUCUGACGUUGAGGCACGAAAGCGUGGGGAGCAAACAGGAUUAGAUACCCUGGUAGUCCACGCAGUAAACGAUGAUAACUCGUUGUCGGCGAUACACAGUCGGUGACUAAGCGAAAGCGAUAAGUUAUCCACCUGGGGAGUACGUUCGCAAGAAUGAAACUCAAAGGAAUUGACGGGGGCCCGCACAAGCGGAGGAACAUGUG